rnacentral:rRNA from 1 species
GCAAGUCGGGGGGCAACAUGGUAUCAGCUUGCUGAUACCGAUGGCGACCGGCGCACGGGUGAGUAACGCGUAUGUAAUCUACCUGUAACAGAGGGAUAACCCGGAGAAAUCCGGACUAAUACCUCAUAGCACAUAUUAUUCGCAUGAAUUUUAUGUUAAAGAGACUCGGUUACAGAUGAACAUGCGUUCCAUUAGCUGGUUGGCGGGGUCACGGCCCACCAAGGCAACGAUGGAUAGGGGUUCUGAGAGGAAGGUCCCCCACACUGGUACUGAGACACGGACCAGACUCCUACGGGAGGCAGCAGUGAGGAAUAUUGGUCAAUGGGCGAAAGCCUGAACCAGCCAAGUCGCGUGGAGGAAGACGGCCCUACGGGUUGUAAACUCCUUUUACCUGGGAAUAACGGGCGCUACGCGUAGCGCUGUGCAAGUACCGGGCGAAUAAGCAUCGGCUAAUUCCGUGCCAGCAGCCGCGGUAAUACGGAAGAUGCGAGCGUUAUCCGGAUUUAUUGGGUUUAAAGGGUGCGUAGGCGGAAGAAUAAGUCAGCGGUGAAAUGCUUCAGCUCAACUGGAGAAUUGCCGAUGAAACUGUUUUUCUAGAGUAUAAAAGAGGUAUGCGGAAUGCGUGGUGUAGCGGUGAAAUGCAUAGAUAUCACGCAGAACCCCGAUUGCGAAGGCAGCAUACUGGGCUGUAACUGACGCUGAAGCACGAAAGCGUGGGUAUCGAACAGGAUUAGAUACCCUGGUAGUCCACGCCGUAAACGAUGAAUACUAACUG